rnacentral:misc_RNA from 1 species
GUAGGUGAACCUGCGGAGGGAUCAUUAACACGUAUCCAAACGCCCAACAAACCAAACCCGCGAACAUUUUAAUUUUUCCCUUUGGAGUUGUGAUGACUAGCAAGCCAUUUGGUGGAUUGUAUGUGCACGAAAGUGACCAUGCACUACUUGCAGUCUAUCGAGGUUCAAUCUCAGUCACACUCUUUGGGCGUACAAAAGCCACCCGGGUUGCUAGGCAAGGUGCUCUGCACUUUGCUUGGUAGCUUCGUUA